rnacentral:rRNA from 1 species
UGGGGAAUAUUGGACAAUGGGCGAAAGCCUGAUCCAGCCAUGCCGCGUGUGUGAAGAAGGUCUUCGGAUUGUAAAGCACUUUAAGUUGGGAGGAAGGGUAGUAACCUAAUACGUUGCUACUUUGACGUUACCGACAGAAUAAGCACCGGCUAACUUCGUGCCAGCAGCCGCGGUAAUACGAAGGGUGCAAGCGUUAAUCGGAAUUACUGGGCGUAAAGCGCGCGUAGGUGGUUUUGUAAGUUGGAGGUGAAAUCCCCGGGCUCAACCUGGGAACUGCCUCCAAAACUGCAUGACUAGAGUACGGUAGAGGGUAGUGGAAUUUCCUGUGUAGCGGUGAAAUGCGUAGAUAUAGGAAGGAACACCAGUGGCGAAGGCGACUACCUGGACUGAUACUGACACUGAGGUGCGAAAGCGUGGGGAGCAAACA